UACUCCGUUGCGCAAUGGUAGCGCGUUGACUCCAGAUCAGAAGGUUGCGUGUUCAAAUCACGUCAGGGUCA
rnacentral:tRNA from 1 species